rnacentral:rRNA from 1 species
GUGUUUGUUCGUUAAGGCACACGGUGGAUGCCUUGGCAUGCUGAGCCGAUGAAGGACGUGAGAGGCUGC